GAUGAACGCUGGCGGCGUGCCUAAUACAUGCAAGUCGAGCGAACAGACGAGGAGCUUGCUCCUCUGACGUUAGCGGCGGACGGGGGAGUAACACGUGGAUAACCUACCUAUAAGACUGGGAUAACUUCGGGAAACCGGAGCUAAUACCGGAUAAUAUAUUGAACCGCAUGGUUCAAUAGUGAAAGACGGUUUUGCUGUCACUUAUAGAUGGAUCCGCGCCGCAUUAUCUAGUUGGUAAGGUAACGGCUUACCAAGGCGACGAUGCGUAGCCGACCUGAGAGGGUGAUCGGCCACACUGGAACUGAGACACGGUCCAGACUCCUACGGGAGGCAGCAGUAGGGAAUCUUCCGCAAUGGGCGAAAGCCUGACGGAGCAACGCCGCGUGAGUGAUGAAGGUCUUCGGAUCGUAAAACUCUGUUAUUAGGGAAGAACAAAUGUGUAAGUAACUAUGCACGUCUUGACGGUACCUAAUCAGAAAGCCACGGCUAACUACGUG
rnacentral:rRNA from 1 species